CAGCCGGUGGUGUAAGGCGAACAUCGCUGCCCGGAAAGCAGAAGAUGCGGGUUCGAGUCCCGCCUGGCGCA
rnacentral:tRNA from 1 species